rnacentral:lncRNA from 1 species
GACAGUGCUAGGACUGCUUUUUUCUAUAUCAGACACGUGGGCUCCUGCUGUGCCUUCCUGGAAAACAGAGGCCAAGGAUGGAGCAGACCAAGAGGAUGCCAGGAAAAAUCACAAAGAAGCCCAGAAAGCACAGCUGGAAGCCAAGAACCCUAUUUUUGGUUUGUGUGGGUGGAAGAUGAGGGACAAUAUAUAGUGACCAACAGGAUUCUUCAUCUGAAAGAGAAUGGAGUAUAUCAGACCUGUGUAUUUAGGUGAAGUAUGAUAAACAUAAUCAUACUUCAAAGAUUAUGAACAUCAAAGAUUAUGGAAAGGAACAUGACUGCUUAGUUUAUUCCACUACCAGUGAUCUGCUUGUUUGUUCAUUUGCUUACCCAUCCAUUCAUUUAUUCAUUCAUUCCUCCAUCCAUUCUCUUUGACUUAUUCUACAAUCAUGAUUGUAUGC